AGGGCUUCUACUGAAUUUUCAUUGACCGAUAGAUACAAACCAAUCGCAGGCAAGACUUAGGGCAUCGAGUUCCCGCUCCUCCCCCUCCCCCCCUCCUCUUCCGAGCCUCCGAAUAGAGCUUGCUGCUUGCGGGGUUCCAGCUGAAUUGCGCAUGCUACCUUGCAUAGGGCCGUACACUACUGGGUGUCUUUGCUGGAAGUCUGCAGAAGAUGCAUUCUAUGACAUGCUAGAGAAGUGUCAGAUCGGUGCUGUUGUUGAAGAAUAGCUAUCUCAGUUGUGCUGUGUGUGUGAAGAAUGCAUCUUAAACAGUCUAGGAACAUGAUUUGAGUUAGCUUGCUGUAACUAGUUCAUGCUAAUAUAUGCUCAGGUACUGAAGAGCUGACAGCUCCAUUCAUGCUUUUCAGAAGAUCACCUUUUGUAGGAGUGUUACUUUAUAUUUUGGAAUCAGGUGCACAUCUUAUUUUGGGAGA